GCCCCGCGGGCGGGAAGAGGAUGACGUCACAGCGCGGCGCGGUUCCCUGAGGUGAGGCCCCGGCCCAGCAGCGGGAGUCCCGCGCGUCGCCCCGGCGGGGGGGGGCCCGCCCCAGCCCGCGGCGCUUGGGGCUGCUCGGCGAGCUGCCGCCAGCACUGCAGCGGGUCAGCCCGUCGCCUUCGGUCCAGGUCCCGGUGUGUCGGUCCCGGCUCCAGGGGACGCAGCGACGCCGAUCCGUGCAAAGAUGUUGGCAGCUGGGGGCGGCGUGGGGCCCGCGGGCCGGCUACCGACUCCCCCUGCACCGCGCGCUGCUCGGGUCUCCUUGGCCGUGGCGGCGCCCCCUCCGCCUGCCCGUCCCUCCCGCAGCCGAGGUGAGACCCGCGGGCGCGCCGCCAGGGGCGUCCCCCGCUCCCGCGGGAGCCUGGUCUGCGCUGCCCGCUGCCGCCGUGCUUCUCAGCCGGGGGCCCCGGGCAGGCUCCAGGGCCUCCGCCGAAAUAACCCAGAGAACAGGGCCGGCGCUGGACUUGCUGCGGCCCACAGCAGAGAGCUGCAGCCUGAGCAAAAAAAGCUUUGAGGGGCCCCCAGGGGCGUGGGGCCGCAGGCAGUUGCCCUGCUUGCUGUCCCCUAACGCCGGCCCUGGCUUUUAAGCUACGGGGUAUGCAGGAAACCAGUCGUGGCCCCAGUGGGCCGAGGAAUUUUUAUAGCAUGUUGGGGGCCUCAGGAAGAAAACGUUUGAGACCCCCUGAAUUGCAGCAACCUCAAUCACCUUCUCCUUCAAGUACCUCCUUGCUUACUCCCUUGCUGCCUCUGAUGCACAAUGGAAACUCCCUGUCAGAAUCCGUAAAACUGCCACUUUAUCCUCUCAUAAAACCCUCCUCAACCAACCUCUGCUGUGAUGCCAACAAAUCGCACCCAGCGGCCGUUGGCUUCGCAAGCGAUGAGCUGAGCUUUCUGUUCUUCUACUAAGCUCUCUGUUUUAUUGUUACCUCAUCCUACCAACACAUCUCCACCCAGUUUUGUCUGUUUUGUCUACCUGUUGGAUCCUGACAUGGAGAUUGUGAGCUUUCUGUGGCAGGGAUUGUCCUUUUCGUCACAUGCUUGUAAACUGCUUAGUAAAAUGGGGCUCUGACCCUCAACUGGAGUUCUUAGAUACGACUAAUAUAUUUACCUCUUUUGACCCAAGCGGCUAGCCAAAAUGUUAGGGUCCUAGGGGUUGUUCUAGUUAGAAGGAGAAAUUGAUGAUGGAGCCAGGUAUCUGAUGUACAUUCUUUGUCAACAAAUAAGAUUACAAAAUCCUGUUUCCAUAAACACAGCAGGAAUCAAACAAGAGACAGGGUCUUUGCUCACUUACAGCUCCAAGCCCCAUUUCCAGUCAGCAAAAGCUCUCUUACAUGGGUAUAACUCAGAAAAUCUGAAAAAUCCUCACCCUUGAGCAACACAGUUAUACCAACUGAACUCCCUGGAGUAGACAGCACUCUGUCAACCAAAGGGCUUCUCCUGUCGACAUAGCUACUGCCUCUUUUGGAGGUGGCUUAACUGCACCAACAGGAGUGGUGUAGAAGCAUCGUCCCUAAAACUUUGCAGUGGCACAGUUGGGCUGAUUCCAUGUUGUAAGUGUAGAGCUGCCCCAAGCUUUUCUCAGGGUGAGGUUCCCAGUGCUUAUUCUGACUGUGCCCUUGGUUUUUCUUCCCCUGCUCUCUUUCAGACCCACAGUCUUUCACAAAACAAUAGGUAGAGCAACCUGUCUGCCCGCAAGUACCCUGCAAGUUUGGGGCAGUGAGCGUCUGGGUUUGGGGUGGAGGCCUCUUGGUUCAGCUGCCUGCCUACAUAAAGAAGUUUAAUGGUUUCUUACAAUAAUCUUAAAUGAAGGGAGCAGUUACACUGCCCAGUUUCAAAGAGGUUUAACCCAGCGCACAACAGUAUAAAUAAUAAACUUCCCAUGGCCCUGGAGGUUCUCAGCCAGGUCAUCUGAGUAGCAUUGCAGACCUAAGCCUAGGGAGUGGCAUGGAGCUGGCCCACCUGAAAAGCAUAACAAACCCAGCCUUCAUUAUCAUCACUGUCAAAAAUAACUGCUGAAUUUUACAUCAAUGAGUAUUUUUAACUAUCUGCCACACUUGUGUGGGUGUUUGGGGUUGAGACUGAUGAAAGUGAAGGGUAUUCCAUGGUAAUAGAUAAAGUUCCAUGGUAAGGUUAGUUUAUCAUUGUUGCAGCUGAAUUUGGGCCCAUUGUGCAUAGAGUUCAUGGGGUACCUGAUAUUACUAUAUCCCCCUUGGUUAUAGGCCCUGCAAUGUGAGCAUGAACUCUAAUUUGAACAGAACCAUUUAUUACACAGAAUUCACAUUUAUCUACUUUUAUGACUUCUCUGUGAAAAGACUGAUUUUUUUCCUAAAGGUAUUUGUUGUUCACAGAGUAAUUUCUGGCUAACUCCAACUCAUGAGCUUGUGAGUAUUAUGAAUUCAAACUGCUUUGGUCAGUUUUGAUUGGGCACAUUUUUGUUUCCUCUUGGGAUGAGCAUAACUGCUAUAGUUUAUUUAAUAGUAGUGUCUAGAUUCUCCAACUGAUCAGGGUGUAAUUGUUCUUGGUGUAAUACAAACACAAAGGGAGACAAAGCAAGGAGAAUUUUUAUUUUAAUUGGACCAACUUUAGGUGAUGAGAGACAAGCUUUCAAGCUUACAAAGAGCUCUCUUCAGGUCUGUGAAACUUACUAAGAGCAGUCUACACUAAAGCAGGGAUCCACGCUCUGAGAUCAAUCCACUGGCAGUGAAUUUAGCAGGUCUAGUAAAGACCCGCCAAAUUGACUGCAGAUCACUCUCCAGUCAAUCCCUGUACUCUACCCCCAAUUAGAAGAGUAAGGUAAGUCAAAAGGAGAUUGUCUCGUGUAGACCCCGUGGUAACUCAACCUUAGGUACGUUUACUCCAGCUACGUUAUUCACGUAGCUGGAGUUGCGUAGCGUAGGCCGACUUACUGUGGUAGUGUAGACAUAACCUAAGAGGACACCCAGUAAGUUCCCCAGACCUGAAGAAGAAAUCUGAAAGCUCAUCCAAUAAAAAAAUAUUACCUCACCCAUCCUCUCUAAUAUGCUGGAACAGACAUAGCUACAACACUGCACGUGCGUGCACAUGCGCGCGCACACACACAGAGUAAGAGACUGACCGUGCUUCAAACAACUCACAAUCUAAAGUCCAUGUUUGGUAGAGCAGGUUAGAAAAAACCAAGGUGGAUAAAAAUCAAUGCUUUAAAAAUAAAUAAAUAUU